rnacentral:rRNA from 1 species
CCCUUAGAUGUUCUGGGCCGCACGCGCGCUACAAUGGCAAACUCAGCGAGUCUCCUUUACCGACAGGUAUAGGAAAUCUUUUCAGUGUUUGCCGUGAUGGGGCUAGACCCUUGUAAUUAUUGGUCUCCAACGAGGAAUUCCUAGUAAACGCAGGUCAUUAACCUGCAUUGAUUACGUCCCUGCCCUUUGUACACACCGCCCGUCGCACCUACCGAUUGAAUGGUCCGGUGAAGUCUCCGGACUGAGUACUUUUAGUACUUGGGAAGUUGACUAAACCUUACUAUUUAGAGGAGGGUGAAGUCGUAACA